rnacentral:lncRNA from 1 species
UCCCCCCUUCUCCGAAUCCAACUGACACCAUGGCCAAGUCCCCUUCUACCACCAACUGAUCAGCUUUGAGGUACAGCCUCGCAUAGAAAAUAUCCUCCCAGACAGUCUGUAACUCAGCUCCAGAAACAGUAAUCUCAAAAAGAGGACUCUCGCAUGGGACAAGCUUUUUAAUCUCAUGACUUUUGAGAUGCCUGCAAAGGCUGCAAUUUUAUGUAUUGACCAUAAGGGUGUUCAACAUUAGC